CCUACGGGAGGCAGCAGUGGGGAAUAUUGCACAAUGGGGGAAACCCUGAUGCAGCGACGCCGCGUGAGGGAAGAAGGUUUUCGGAUUGUAAACCUCUGUUUUUGGUGACGAAAGAUGACGGUAGCCAAAGAGGAAGAUACGGCUAACUACGUGCCAGCAGCCGCGGUAAUACGCAGGUGGCAAGCGUUGUCCGGAAUUACUGGGUGUAACGGGAGCGUAGGCGGGAAGAAAAUUUGAAUGUUUAAACUAUCGGCUCACCCGAUAAUCGCGUGCAAAACUGUUUGUCUUGAGUGAAGUAGAGGCAGGCGGAAUUCCUAGUGUAGCGGUGAAAUGCGUAGAUAUUAGGAGGAACACCAGUGGCGAAGGCGACCUGCUGGGCUUUAACUGACGUUGAGGCUCGAAAGCGUGGGUAGCAAACAGGAUUAGAUACCCUGGUAGUC
rnacentral:rRNA from 1 species